rnacentral:rRNA from 1 species
AACAAACGCUGGCGGCGUGCCUAACACAUGCAAGUCGUACGAGAAAGGGUCCUUCGGGGCCUGAGUAAAGUGGCGCACGGGUGAGUAACGCGUGGAUAAUCUGCCCUUCAGUUGGGUAUAACUCAUCGAAAGGUGGGCUAAUACCGAAUAAUGCUGUGAGACCUCGGUUGAUCAGCCAAAGAGAGCCUCUGCUUGCAAGCCCUCGCUGAAGGAUGAGUCCGCGUACCAUUAGCUAGUUGGUAGGGUAAUGGCCUACCAAGGCGACGAUGGUUAGCUGGUCUGAGAGGAUGACCAGCCACACUGGAACUGAGACACGGCCCAGACUCCUACGGGAGGCAGCAGUGAGGAAUCUUGCGCAAUGGGGGCAACCCUGACGCAGCAACGCCGCGUGAGUGAGGAAGGUCUUCGGAUCGUAAAGCUCUGUCGGAUGGAAAGAACCGCAUAGGGGUAAACAGCCCCUGUGUCUGACGGUACCGUCAAAGGAAGCACCGGCUAACUCCGUGCCAGCCGCCGCCGUAAUAC